GGAGUUUGGGCCGUGUCUCAGUCCCAAUGUGGCGGAUCAUCCUCUCAGACCCGCUACGGAUCGUCGGCUUGGUAGGCCUUUACCCCACCAACUACCUAAUCCGACAUCGGCUGCUCGAAUAACGCAAGGUCCGAAGAUCCCCUGCUUUCACCCGUAGGUCGUAUGCGGUAUUAGCUAAUCUUUCGAUCAGUUAUCCCCCAUUACUCGGUACAUUCCGAUGCAUUACUCACCCGUUCGCCACUCGCCGUCAGUAGUGCAAGCACUACCACGCUGCCGUUCGACUUGCAUGUGUAAAAGCAUGCCGCCAGCGUUCAAUCUGAGCCAUGAUCAAGCUCU
rnacentral:rRNA from 1 species